GUCCUCGGGGCCGAAUACUCUGGCGGCCGCGAACAAAGGCUCUCCGGGCGUGGGGGAGGCGCAGUGGUAUAACCUCCAGGCGGACCCACGACGAGCUACCGGGUUCUCAAGGCGCAAUCACCUCCUACGGCCGGGCCGGGGUUCCCGUGUCUGGGUCAUGGACAUGGAGAGGCUCCUGGAGAAAGAAGGGGAGGGGGAGGCCGCCAUCUUGCUUCUGGGGGCUGCUAGGUUCUCUGGCAAGCGUUUUCCAGCGUGUAGCCUGCAACGUGGCUUGUCGCAGUUCAAGUCCUGGGAGGUGGAUUGGUCGCCUGUCCUGGUUGGAGGGUCUCGGCAGCUGGCUGAGUGGAGAACUAGCCUCUGCAUAUGGGCUUCAGGUUCCUUUUGAAGGAGUAUUCCCUUUCGGCACUAGAUAAGGCGACAGCUUCCGUGGCACACUAAUUUAAUGUCUUAAAUUAGUAGUUGUUUUCUUUAAAUCUGCCUACAAGUUUGAGAUAGUUUGCCCAGCAUCUGAUAGCUGCCACACAUUCUUCCCUGGACUUUAAAAUUCUCUUCCUUUGGCCCCGAAUUAAGAACCAAGGGCUUUGUUGGCAUGACUACUUAAAAGAAUGAAUGUCCACUCAGUCAAGUUUGCAAUCAAGAAACCAAAUACUUGCAUUUGAAAGUAUGAAUGGAGGGAAGACUUGAUGACUUUACUAACUGUAGUUAGAGUUUUAAUUAAGAUCUUUUUCCAGUAUGAAAAGAAGUUGGUAAAUCGGAUCCAAAUAAAGGAAGUUACCUCAGAGCAGGGAUCAGUUGUUCAUAGGGAAGACUGAGUACUAUUUAUCUGUCUUAAAAGUUCUACCAGGGCUGAUGAGAAAGAUGAGGCUGCAGAAGGAGGCAAGAGUCAGAUCAUGGCUGACGUUUCUGUUGUCUAUUAAAUUUUGGAAGUAGAAUGGCUAAGUUGUUUGUAAGUGGAGGAUGGAUUAAUGGGGGUGUUAGGCAGUAUAGCAAGCUGAGAGUAGAUAGUCAACUAUUGCAGAAGAGGAAGGAGAAAGAUCUUUGUAACAGUGCCGGUAACCAUCUUAAAGAGAUGAUUUUCCAAAUGAUGAAGCCACAUAAGCUUCAUAAGCCAAAUAAGAAUUGUUUGCUGGGCAACUAGAGGUUAGGAGAAUUGGAAGUGAAUGUUUUGCUUUUGCAGGGUAAAAGUGUAUACUCUGUGUGUGUGUGGUGUUGAUACUUCAGACUCUCCUAUCUCCGUCUCCUAAGUGCUGGUAAUAGAGACCUGCACCAUCAUAUCUGUUUAUGCUGGAGUUAGAACCCUGGGUUUCAUGCCUAGUCAGCACCCACUCUGCUCCUAGAGCUGUAUCUCCAUUGCAUGAUGGUGUACUUUACUGAAGAGGUAAAGGAGAAUGGACAUAAUUUAUGGGAGAAGGGUUUCUUCUUUUUUUCUGAAGUGAGUGGUGUUAUCUAGUGGUAAUUGCUGUGUGCUGCAUUCUGAGCUCUGGAGAGGGCAGGAGGAGCUGAAGUUAGGCACACCAUAGGUUUAUAUUACCACAUUCAAGCAGAUGCAGUCUCACUUUGUUGAGCAUAGUUUCAAAACCUUUUCUCCUUUGUGCUUUACUUGAGAGAAAUUUUUAAAAUACUAUAUUAAUACAUCUUACUAUCCAUAGCCAUUCUAAUAUUAUUCUAAUACCUGGUGGUCUGCAUGAAGAUAUGAUAUGUGGAGGUCUCCACAAGAGACAGGGGGAACUGAAAUCCAAAACACAGAAUGAAAAAUGUCCUCUUACUGUUAAAAAGAAAAAAGGCCUAAAUAAUGAAUAUGGUCAUUAAGUUAGCUUCAUUCAAUAACAUGCAUCCUUAAUUUUUGAGUGUAUUCUUAUAACAAACUAAUACGUUAUAAAAAGAAAGCAACACAUUU
rnacentral:lncRNA from 1 species